rnacentral:lncRNA from 1 species
AGAAUGGCGGGGUCAGCGGACAGCAGUGGGGCUACAGGCUGUGUCUGUGGCUGCCCUGGCUUAGGGCUCUGGCUGGCCCCUCCUUUCCGACCUGGUCUGGCAGAGCAGCCCCGCAGGACCAGCUCGCAAGGCUCCUGGGGCCAGUGGGGCUCUGUCCUGUGAGGCGGUCCCUCCGCAAGGACAGAGUCAGAGAGAGGCUGAGACAGGGUCUUGCUGUGUUGUCCAGACUGGUGUUGAACUCCUGGUUUCAAGCGAUCCUCCCACCUGGGAUUACAGGCAUGAGCCACUAUGCCCAAUCAUCUCUCUGAGCUUCUUGGAUCUGUAGUUUGUAUCUUUCAUUAUUUUCUGAAGAUUCUUGGCUAAUUUCUCUUUAAAUAUUUCUUCUUUAAAAAAUAUCUACUUCAAAUACCUAAUAUAGAUGACGGGUUGAUGGGUGCAGCAAACCAUCAUGGCAUGUGUAUACCUAUGUAACAAACCUGCACGUUCUGCACAUGUAUCCCAGAACUUAAAGUAUAAUAAAAAAAAUUUUUAAAAAGAAAAAUUAAAAUCUACUUCCUUCCUCUGGAAUUUUAAGGCUUAGGAGAAGAGUUGUGUACAUGUCCAGAAGAAAAGUGGAGUUGAGUCAGUUUAUUAGGAUGUGGUGUGGGUUUGGGAUUUUUUUGUUUUUGUUUUUGUGGUUGCUUUCAGUGUACCUCCAACUUCAAAGCAUUGUGCUUAGAGUAGAGGCUGGGUUUCCAGAGGUUUUUUGUUUUGUUUUCUUAAAAUGUUCCUGCUUUACUUGCAGCUUUCAGAAUUCCCAGUGGACCUGUACCUUGGAGGGAUGUUUCUUGAUGCAUGCUUGCCCCUUGUCCAGCAGUGGUCUCCUGUUCCUUGUUACUCAUGCUUGCUAGUCCAGUGAUGGGGACCAGUGAGGACUCUCUACUGUCCUGGUCCAGCCUCACUAUUAGACAGGCUAAAAGUUCUGUCAGCCUGUG